rnacentral:ncRNA from 2 species
AUUAAGCCAUGCAAGUGUUAGUUCAGGUAACGAAACUGCGAAUAGCUCAUUAAUACGCUCAGAAUCUAUUUGGCGGCGACCAACAGGUCUUAAAUGGAUAGCAGCAGCAACUCUGGUGCUAAUACAUGCGAUUGUUUCUCCAGAUGUGAAUUAUGGAGGAAAAGUUGACCUCAUCAGAGGCACGCCAUUCGACUGAGUGACCUAUCAGCUUGUACUUAGGGUCUUUACCUAGGUAGGCUAUCACGGGUAACGGGCGGUUACCGUCGGACUGCCGGAGAAGGCGCCUGAGAGAUAGCGACUAUAUCCACGGGUAGCAGCAGGCGCGAAACUUUCCCACUCGAGACUUUCGGAGGAGGUAAUGACCAGUUCCAUUGGUGCCUUUUGGUACUGUGGAUAGGGGUACGGUUUUCCACCGUACCGAAACCUAGCAGAGGGCCAGUCUGGUGCCAGCAGCUGCGGUAAUUCCAGCUCUGCGAGUUUGCUCCCAUAUUGUUGCAGUUAAAACGCCCGUAGUCUGAAUUGGCCAGCAAUGGUCGUACGUAUUUUUACGUUCACUGUGAACAAAUCAGGACGCUUAGAGUAUGGCCACAUGAAUGACUCAGCGCAGUAUGAAGUCUUUGUUUUCUUCCGAAAACAAGCUCAAUGAGAGCCAUCGGGGGUAGAUCUAUCUCAUGACGAGUGGUGGAAUACUUUGACUCAUGAGAGAGAAGCUGAGGCGAAGGCGUCUACCUAGAGGGUUUCUGUCGAUCAAGGGCGAGAGUAGGAGUAUCCAACAGGAUUAGAGACCCUGGUAGUUCCUACCUUAAACGAUGCCGACAGGAGUUUGUCAUUUGUUAAUGGCAGAAUCUUUGGAGAAAUCAUAGUUCUUGGGCUCUGGGGGAACUACGACCGCAAGGCUGAAACUUGAAGGAAUGACGGAAGGGCACACCAGGGGUGGAGCC